GGACUACCCGGGUAUCUAAUCCUGUUUGCUCCCCACGCUUUCGAGCCUCAGCGUCAGAAACGUUCCAGAGCGCCGCCUUCGCCACCGGCCUUCCUCCCGAUCUCUACGCAUUUCACCGCUACACCGGGAAUUCCGCGCUCCUCUCCCGUCCUCUAGCCCGGCAGUCCCCUCCGACUGUUCCAGGUUAAGCCUGAAGAUUUCACAAAGGGCUUACCGAACCGCCUACGCUCCCUGUACGCCCAGUAAAUCCGAAUAACGCUUGCCACCUUCGUAUUACCGCGGCUGCUGGCAC
rnacentral:rRNA from 1 species